CCUACGGGAGGCUGCAGUAGGGAAUCUUCCUCAAUGGGGGAAACCCUGACGCAGCAACGCCGCGUGGAUGAUGAAGGUCUUCGGAUUGUAAAACUCUUUUGUGAGGGAAGAUCAUGCCGGUAUCUAACGAAUCAGCACUGGCUAACUCCGUAUCAGCAGCCGCCGUAAUACGGAGGGUGCAAGCGUUACUCGGUAUCAAUGGGCGUAACGUGUGCGCAGGCGGGUUUGUAAGUCAGAUGUGAAAGCCUAUUGCUUAACUGCGGAAGUGCAUUUGAAACUAAGAGACUAGAGUGUAGGAGAGGAAAGUGGAAUUCUAGGUGUAGGGGUGAAAUCCGUAGAGAUCAAGAGGAAUACUCAUGGCGAAGGCGACCUAUUGGAACAUUACUGACGCUCAUGCGCGAAAGCGUGGGGAGCAAACAGGAUUAGAUACCCUGGUAGUC
rnacentral:rRNA from 1 species